CCUAAAGUGACAUCCCAUUGAAAUUCAUUUGAGUUCUAUAAUUUUUAUUCAAAAGAGCAAUAAGCCUUAGCCCAAAGAGGCCAGAAGUGCAAUAUCAAGAUGUUGGCAGUGACUUGUUCCCUCCAAAGGCACAAGAAGAGAAUGUGGCCUUGAAUCUUCCAGAUAUUUCCACAGAGACUUCUACCUUCAGCAACCACCAACCUGGUCAGUUAGCAGCCAUUGACAUCAAGAAACUCUGACAGCUUAGACUGAAAGGGACAGAGAUAAGAAGAAAUGAAGAAAGAAUGAUUACAAGAACAGCACCACAGAAAUAAAGGCCAGAGAAGAUGGGGCCACUUUUACAGAGGCUCUGCUUCUUAGAGUGACUAAAACUGUUUACAGUGUAUUUUGUUUCAUGAGUCCCCCACUAAGCAGGCAAUGGACACUGUAAAACCUAGGAGCCUGAACUGAAAAAAAGGAGGAGCGCACGCCUGUGAACCAAAGUCUGGAAAUCAGAAGUCUGAAAUCAGUUUCACUGAGCCAAUAUCAAAGUGCCAGCAAGUCUGCACUGCCCCCGGAGGGCUCUAGGGCAGAGUCAGUUCUCUUGUCUUCCAGCCUCUGAACCUGUGGCUCAUGACUUCUUCCCACAUCAAAACCAGCAGAGGAGCAUCUCUUUCUGACUCUGCCUCCCUCUGCCUCCUCUGCUUCCAUCUACUUCGAUCACAUGGACUUCCUGUCUGUGUCAAAUUCUUCUCUGCCUUCUCUCUCCUUAUAAAGGCAUCUGCGACUGCAUCUAGGAUCUACCUGGAUAAGACAGAAAAAUCUCCGCAUCUCAAGAUCCUUAAUCAUAUCUAAAAGUUCUAUAAGGACAGAAGUACAAGGCCCUUCAUCUGCUGCUUAAAAAACCACUUGCCAAGCACCACCAGCUCAACAAGCACAAGGAGAACCUGAAGACUAAGAAGCAGCAGUGGAAGGAAUGGCUAGAUCCACUGUGGAAGUCCUCAGUUUCAUGGUGUCAAUAAAAACACAAAA